rnacentral:rRNA from 1 species
UACGAAGGGGGCUAGCGUUGCUCGGAAUCACUGGGCGUAAAGCGCACGUAGGUGGGUCGUUAAGUCGGGGGUGAAAUCCUGGAGCUCAACUCCAGAACUGCCUUCGAUACUGGCGAUCGUUCGAGUCCGGGAGAGGUGAGUGGAACUGCGAGUGUAGAGGUGAAAUUCGUAGAUAUUCGCAAGAACACCAGUGGCGAAGGCGGCUUUCUGGACGAGAUACCGACGCUG